UGGAUCGAUGGUGACUCCCUGAGGUGUACGAGUUGUGUGCGAUGAAUGUGAGUCUGGAACUCUGAGGUUUGA
ensembl:snoRNA